GUGGGGAAUCUUGCGCAAUGGGCGAAAGCCUGACGCAGCCAUGCCGCGUGAAUGAUGAAGGUCUUAGGAUUGUAAAAUUCUUUCACCGGGGACGAUAAUGACGGUACCCGGAGAAGAAGCCCCGGCUAACUUCGUGCCAGCAGCCGCGGUAAUACGAAGGGGGCUAGCGUUGCUCGGAAUUACUGGGCGUAAAGGGCGCGUAGGCGGACAGUUUAGUCAGAGGUGAAAGCCCAGGGCUCAACCUUGGAAUUGCCUUUGAUACUGGCUGUCUUGAGUACGGGAGAGGUGAGUGGAACGCCGAGUGUAGAGGUGAAAUUCGUAGAUAUUCGGAAGAACACCAGUGGCGAAGGCGACUCACUGGCCCGUUACUGACGCUGAGGCGCGUAAGCGUGGGGAGCAAACAGGAUUAGAUACCCUGGUAGUCC
rnacentral:rRNA from 1 species